rnacentral:lncRNA from 1 species
UCCUGUUCCGUGUCUCUUUCUCCACAGGACUCUGAGUUCUCUUGGUGCAGCAGCUGGGCUUGCCCUAGGCUAAAUUCUUGGUUCUCAGCGCAGGUCCCGGCACAUAGUGGGUGUCUGAUCACAUUUUGGUGAAAAAAUAAUGAAUAAAUUUCCAGGUGGUGAGGACUCAGGAGACCCAAGAGAUCAGAACCCUCAACAACCAGUUUGCUUCCUUCAUUGACAAGGUGAGGGUCCACUCAGGUAAGCCCCUCUCCUUGCCUGCCUCAGAAGAACCAUUCUCGAUGGAUUUGGGAAUGGG